ensembl:lncRNA
CCCCUGGGGGUCAGGAAGGAACAGGAAGAUUUUUGGGGCAGUAAAACACCGGAUUUGUCUCCUCACACCUGGAGGUGUUGCAGCUUUUUGACCCCUUUGCUGCCCUCAAGAUAAGAAUCGGAGAUGCUCAACAAGUGCCUGCUGAGAUAUUGUCCCAGAAGUAUUCAGUGCACCUCAGCAAGCUGCAAAUGCAGGCUCGUGGGGGAAGAGCGAUACAAAGCAAACAGGGAAGUGCAGACAGAAAAUGCAUUAGAAAUGUUUGGAAAAGGCACUCCAAGGUCUCCCCAGGCUGGUCAGAGAGGAAAGUUUUCCAGCAGCACAGCCAGGAAGAGCUCCAAAGGCAACAGCUCCAGCUCUCAGCCCAGAAUCCCUGAAGAAAUGAGGGAUCAUCCACUUGGGAAAGGCUGCUGCAUUCCAGGGCCCUUGGAAUGCUGUUGGUGAUGUCCUAGCAGGAUUGCAGCAGGCUGCUGUUAUUCCCUGGGCUGCUUUUUUGGAGUUUGUACCCAGCCCUACAUCGAUUGUGGAGAGGUGGCCCAGAGCCCUCUGUGUGCUCAUGGAAAACCUUCCAGCAAAACUUUUGUGACACAUUUCCUAUAGGAAACGGAACAGUGAUUGUUUCUGGGAAAAAUAAAAAAGCUGAACUAAAGACUCUUCUGCCCCAGCAGCAAAUAAAGAGAGCAUCAAAAUAUUUUAGUAUCAAGGCUUGCUUUCCAUCAGAUUUCCUCCUGCCCUUGCAAAAUGAUGCAGCAACAAAAAAAAAGUACCUAAAGGAAAGGGGGAUUUUCAGGAGCCUGUUGUGUUACCUGAGCGUGGAUUCAAUGAUCCAGCUGCUUGGGAAAUGCAGUUUUGCUGGAAUUGUUACCAAGGGAAGCCUUGCUGGGAUGUUUCAGUGCCUGCUCUGGUUUCAUCCUUCCCUAGGAGUGACUUUUAGGAAGAGUUCAGUGACUACUGAGGCAGAAAAUCAACUGAUCCUUUUGUCAGGAGCUUUUUCUCUCAGGGGCAGGAUGAGGCUUCUCCAGGGCAGUCCAGGGGAUGAGGCCAGAGCCUGUCUUGCCACAAAAAGUCAAAAUUCCUUUUCUGGGCAAUGCCUGCCUUGGUGAAGUGCUGUGUCGAACACUGUAGGCCGGCCUGCAGGGAGAGCAUUGUAGGGCGGCCUGAAGAGGGGCUUAGAUCAACCUGAACUGUUCCUAGACUGGGCUGAAAUGGGGUUUAGACUGGCCUGGAGAGGGGUUUAGGCUGGUUUACAGUGGGGGUUUUGGAUAAACCUGAGCUGUUGUUGGACCAGCCUGAAGCGGGGCUUUAGCCUUUCCUGAAGUGUGUUGUUGUUAGACCAUGCCUGAAGCUUUAGACCAGCCUAACACCAUCCCAGCUCUUCCCUCUUCAUCCCUUGGCUGAAAAAUCCCCCAAACCAGUGGCAGGUUGGGAAAGAGGGAAUUCUUUUUGGGGUCAGAGUGGCUUUUAGGAGCACCUGAUUGUGUUGACCAUAAAUCUUUUUCGCUGCUGCAUCUCUUUGUUUUUCUGGGCUUUAUUUGGAGGGUGAGUUACCCCCCAACUCCAUAAUCUGGGGAAAUUUUCUCCUUCACUUCUUUUCUUCCUCCCCAGAACAACAAUUUGAAGGCAAUAAAGCAAAACACAAACUCUG